rnacentral:rRNA from 1 species
UACGUAGGGGGCAAGCGUUAUCCGGAUUUACUGGGUGUAAAGGGAGCGCAGACGGCAGUGCAAGUCUGGAGUGAAAGCCCGGGGCCCAACCCCGGAACUGCUCUGGAAACUGUGCGGCUAGAGUACUGGAGGGGCAGGCGGAAUUCCUAGUGUAGCGGUGAAAUGCGUAGAUAUUAGGAGGAACACCAGUGGCGAAGGCGGCCUGCUGGACAGUAACUGACGUUGAGGCUCGAAGGCGUGGGGAGCAAACAGG